UACGUAGGGUGCAAGCGUUGUCCGGAAUUAUUGGGCGUAAAGAGCUCGUAGGCGGUCUGUCGCGUCGGCUGUGAAAACCCGGGGCUCAACCCCGGGCCUGCAGUCGAUACGGGCAGACUAGAGUGCGGUAGGGGAGACUGGAAUUCCUGGUGUAGCGGUGAAAUGCGCAGAUAUCAGGAGGAACACCGAUGGCGAAGGCAGCUCGCUGGGACGGUACUGACGCUGAGGCGCGAAAGCGUGGGGAGCAAACAGG
rnacentral:rRNA from 1 species